UGUUUAAUAGUUAACUCCGCCCCACUUUAUGACGUACUCCUUAUUGAUUGGCCACACAACACGUGGCUAAUCUAUUAUGCACCCAACGACUACUAUGAUUGGUCCAACUAUUAUUCUAUCUCCACACGGGCUCCUAUUUAAAUCCUUCUAGGAUUCAGUCACUUGUUUUUCCCUGAGGAAGGCGUCAUGUUAGUGCUGAAACACGCUUUGGGUUUUGGGCUUUAAGUGUUUUUUUACUCACUUAACUCACUAUGGGACGGAUGUUUGUUUGUUUACCUUCAUUUAUUGAUAUCAUUUUUUUUUACGUGUAUCCUACCAGCCAGUUGGUAAAAAAAAAAAAAACAUUCAGAGAGGCAGUAUCCAUUCCAC